UACGUAGGGGCGAGCGUUAUCCGGAAUUAUUGGGCGUAAAGCGAGCGCAGGCGGUUCCUUAAGUCUGAUGUGAAAGCCCACGGCUCAACCGUGGAAGGUCAUUGGAAACUGGGGAACUUGAGUGCAGAAGAGGAGAGUGGAAUUCCAUGUGUAGCGGUGAAAUGCGUAGAUAUAUGGAGGAACACCAGUGGCGAAGGCGACUCUCUGGUCUGUAACUGACGCUGAGGCUCGAAAGCGUGGGGAGCAAACAGGAUUAGAUA
rnacentral:rRNA from 1 species